AGUUUGAUCAUGGCUCAGAACGUACGCUGGCGGCACGCCUAACACAUGCAAGUCGAACGAAGUAGCAAUACUUAGUGGCGAACGGGUGAGUAUAAUGUGGGUAUCUGCCCUUUGGUUUGGAAUAACACGAGGAAACUUGUGCUAAUACCGGAUAAGCCUUCACAGGGAAAGCUUUAGCGCCAAAGGAUGAGCCCGCACUUGAUUAGCUAGUUGGUAAGGUAAUGGCUUACCAAGGCUACGAUCAAUAGCUGUUCUUAGAGGAGAUCAGCCACAUUGGGACUGAGACACGGCCCAACUCUACGGAGGCAGCAGUGGGAUCUUGCACAUGGGGAACCUGAUGCAGCGAUGC
rnacentral:rRNA from 1 species